rnacentral:rRNA from 1 species
UGGGGAAUAUUUGGCAAUGGGUGAAAGCCUGACCAAGCAAUGCCGCGUGGAGGAAGAAGGCCUUUGGGUUGUAAUCUCCUUUUCUCAAUGAAGAAGUUCUGACGGUAUUUGAGGAAUAAGCAUCGGCUAAUUCUGUGCCAGCAGCCGCGGUAAUACAGGAGAUGCAAGCGUUAUCCGGAAUUAUUGGGCGUAAAGCGUCUGUAGAUGGUUUAAAAAGUUUGAUGUUAAAUAUUAAAGCUUAACUUUGAAAUGGCAUUAAAAACUCUUAGACUUGAGUGCAAUAGGGGUAGGGGGAAUUUUCAGUGUAGCGGUGAAAUGCGUAGAGAUUGAAAAGAACACCAAUGGCGAAAGCACCCUACUAGGUUGAUACUGACAUUGAGAGACGAAAGCUAGGGGAGCA